GAUGAAGAACUUAGCGAAAUGCGAUAAGUAAUGUGAAUUGCAGAAUUCAGUGAAUCAUCGAAUCUUUGAACGCACAUUGCGCCCGGUAGUAUUCUGCCGGGCAUGUCUGUUCGAGCGUCAUUUCAACCAUCAAGCCCCAGCGCUUGUGUUGGGGGCCUGCGGCUGCCGCAGCCCCCUAAAAGCAGUGGCGGGCUCGCUAUCACACCGAGUGCAGUAGUUCAUCUUCUCUCCGGUCUUGUGAGGCGGGUUCCGGCCGUGAAACACCCCACUACAUUCAAGGUUGACCUCGGAUCAGGUAGGAAUACCCGCUGAACUUAAGCAUAUCAAUAAGCGGAGGA
rnacentral:misc_RNA from 1 species